rnacentral:lncRNA from 1 species
AGGGGUGGAGGUGGUCCACCAUAAUAGCAAGGUCCCCCACCAACGCCAUGAUAGCAUUCCGUGCAACAGCAUCCGAUGGGGGGAUAAGCCAUUGGUGGUGGAGGACAAGGUUCUGGAACCUUUGGUGCUGGUGCUGGUGGUUUCGGUGGUGGUUCUUUUGGUUUCUCAGGUUCCUUAGGCUUUUCGGGUUCUUUCGGCUUUUCGGGUUGUUUAGGUUUCUCGGGUUCUUUGGGUUUUCCGGGUUCUUUUGGUUUUUCGGGUGCUUUAGGCUUUUCGGGUUCUUUUGGUUUUUCUGGUACUUUAGGCUUCUCUGGUUCUUUGGGUUUUUCAGGUUCUUUGGGCUUUUUGGGUUCUUUAGGCUUCUCAGGCUCAUUGGGUUUGGGAGGAGGAGGUGGAGGUUUGAUCUCAAUGCUCUUGAUUGAUCCAGCACCCUUGCAACAUAUCUUGUCCCUCAGCUUCUCAGGAUUGCAGCAUACCACAGUAAUGGUCACGGUGUUGGCUUUCUCAUCGUAUAUCUGGUCUCG